rnacentral:rRNA from 1 species
GAUGAACGCUGGCGGCGUGCCUAAUACAUGCAAGUCGAGCGAACGGACGCGAAUCUUGCUUUUCUGAUGUUAGCGGCGGACGGGUGAGUAACACGUGGAUAACCUACCUAUAAGACUGGGAUAACUUCGGGAAACCGGAGCUAAUACCGGAUAAUAUUUUGAACCGCAUGGUUCAAAAGUGAAAGACGGUCUUGCUGUAACUUAUAGAUGUAUCCGCGCUGCAUUAGCUAGUUGGUAAGGUAACGGCUUACCAUGGCAACGAUGCCUAGCCGACCUGAGAACGUGUACGGCCCCACAGGAACUGAGACACGGUCCAGACUCCGACGGGAGGCCGAGGUAGCGAAGCUUCCGCGAUGGGGGAAAGCCUGACGGAGCAACGCCGCGUGAGUGAUGAAGGUCUUCGGGUCGUAUAACUCUGUUAUUAGUGAAGACCACAUGUGUAAGUAACUGUGCACAUCUUGACGGUACCUGCUCAGAAAGCCACGGCUAACUACGUG